CUAUUCUUCUUCCUCCGUUAGUCGAAAUACACUAUUUAUUGUACUAGAAAGCCUAACGAAGCAGGUGAAGGCACCGUCCCUGUUUGUAGCUGCACAGCUCUAGCUACAACCGACGCGGCCAUAGGCAGCUUUAUUAGAAUACUGACUGUAGAAAUAAGUCCGCUCGGCGUACAUGCUCACGCGGACAAAAAUUAAAAUGGGGUAGUACUUUCCUCGUCCCACCGCUGAUCCACUUCUGAGUUCGGAACGGGAUCAGUCGAACUGCAGUGGUCAGAACAUACUCACGCGGGUAAGGGAGGGUGGGGCAGUGUGUAACAGACCUCCGUAUUUUGAAUAUGGCACGUCCGGACCCAAAUGUUCCAAUGUGUGACAAGGCGAAUGACAACGCCUGCAGCGCGUAGGGUAGACCCGCCCGCCAAGCGUCUGUGUGGAGAUGGUGGCCUACCUUCGGCGCCUGAGCGGCGAUAUCCCCCGCCAACCUAAGUUGCUCAUACCCUGCAACGAGACUACUACGCUACGUGCAACGCAACACUGUUUGCGGGAAGACAGGCUUUUGGUCUUUUGGUCGUUUUUGACUUCGCGGAGGAAGACCGUCCAUCAGUUGCAUCUGCGCUUACAUCAGCUAAGCAGCCGUUAGCCGUCACCCGAUGGUUGCUGAGUUGGUGACACACGACACAGCAAACAGCAUGGGAAAUGGCCCCUUUUUCUCAUGAUCACAGGAAUGAAUCUGCAAUUUAAAUUCGCCCAAAGUCACCAGCAGAAAGGAGCCAGCUACUUGAGGAUGAUGUACUCUUAUAAUGUAAAUGAUUUGAAACAAUAAAGAAUUAAAUUACUA